rnacentral:rRNA from 1 species
AUAGACGACCAUAGAGCGUUGGGCGUUGGAACCACCUGAUCCCUUACCGAACUCAGUAGUGAAACGAUGUAUCGCCGAUGGUAGUGUGGGGUUUCCCCAUGUGAGAGUAGGUCAUCGUCAAGC